AUUUAUAUAAUAUAUUAAUUUUAGUAUAUCUAACUUCCAAUUAGAAAGAUUAAUAACAUUUAAUAUAAAUA
rnacentral:tRNA from 1 species